rnacentral:tRNA from 1 species
GAAAGUAUAGCUCAAAAGAUAGAGCACAUGCUUAGCAUGCAUGAGGUCCUGGGUUCAAUCCCCAGUAACUCCA